UGUCCCUACAUAUUUACAAAGGUCAGCAGAGGUGCCAACAUGUAACUUGGACACCGCAAGGACCCAGAGUUGUCCAGACCUGCAGGGCUCAUCCUAACCCUGAGUUACCAAGUUCUUCCUUCUGAUUCACUUUAGAGUGGGUUUUGACUCCUCCCUGCUGUGAAAGUUCCACUCCCGUGCCCCCAACCCUUGCUAAAGAGGUGUUGAAUUGUUUGGAUUCCUUCUAAUUUACUUUUUGCUCCUGCCCUAAGCAAUCCUUCUGGGGAUCCCUAUUUUCUCUCACUGUAAAUAAUUCUAAAGACCCAUCUCUUCUCUCACUCGCUUUUCUCUAGAGAGUCAUGCCUGACCUGAUACCAACCAGUCCUGCCAGUCACACUUCUCAGAUGCAGUGGAUCUCAGCAGUAAGAGAGCAAACAAAGUGACUUCUCAAGGUUGAAGACACAGGGGUGCCCCCUUGCAUUCCGUGCCCCCCCUCACUUAGCCACGAGCCCUCCAGUAAGAGCAGAGCAUCCAACUGCCCCACGCUCUCUCCCUACCUCAGCACACACACCGAGUGCCAACUCGGUGCUACUCAAAGAGGGCUCUGCCCAGGCUUCCUCAAGCCUGACCUUUUGUGGGUAUCGAGGGAUCAACCUGCAGCCCCUUGGGAAGAAUUGGUGCGAAGGAAGACUUCUGCCCCAAUCAGACUGAGGAUCUGGACUCCACCCUUCAGUCAGUAAGCAUCUGAGGAACCAGGGGGAGGGAACAUUAAGAUACUACCAAAGAUGUCUGCGCUAGGGGAAAAGGGGGUAUGUGCAAACCUGGCUGGCUGGCUCAGUAAUGGAGAACUGGCUGCAGGUGGAUUCGGAGUCCAAUAUGGGCUCCUUUUGGUUGCCAAAGGAUAAACACUCGAAUCACAGUUGCAAGCAACUGGAAGACAUUUUAGAAAGCAUUACUCCAAUACUUUGAUAUAAAAUCUGCCAUAAUAAUUUCCUCAGUUUAAAUUGUCCCAUUUUUUGAUAGUCAU
rnacentral:lncRNA from 1 species